rnacentral:rRNA from 1 species
UACGUAGGGCGCAAGCGUUAAUCGGAAUUACUGGGCGUAAAGCGUGCGCAGGCGGUUGUGUAAGUCAUAUGUGAAAUCCCCGGGCUCAACCUGGGAAUGGCAUUUGAGACUGCACAGCUAGAGUGUGUCAGAGGGGGGUAGAAUUCCACGUGUAGCAGUGAAAUGCGUAGAGAUGUGGAGGAAUACCGAUGGCGAAGGCAGCCCCCUGGGAUAACACUGACGCUCAUGCACGAAAGCGUGGGGAGCAAACAGG